AUUUUGAAAAGUACAUCUGCUGAGUUUCUUGCCGGCUCUUCUCAGCAGAGUUCGCAUUUCGAACCGGUGGUAGAUUCAUGACGUGUCAUAAGAGCCACAGGUUGGCCUACAUGAAAUAAAUAAUUUUGAAUUU